GAGCUUGCUCCCUGAUGUUAGCGGCGGACGGGUGAGUAACACGUGGGUAACCUGCCUGUAAGACUGGGAUAACUCCGGGAAACCGGGGCUAAUACCGGAUGGUUGUUUGAACCGCAUGGUUCAAACAUAAAAGGUGGCUUCGGCUACCACUUACAGAUGGACCCGCGGCGCAUUAGCUAGUUGGUGAGGUAACGGCUCACCAAGGCAACGAUGCGUAGCCGACCUGAGAGGGUGAUCGGCCACACUGGGACUGAGACACGGCCCAGACUCCUACGGGAGGCAGCAGUAGGGAAUCUUCCGCAAUGGACGAAAGUCUGACGGAGCAACGCCGCGUGAGUGAUGAAGGUUUUCGGAUCGUAAAGCUCUGUUGUUAGGGAAGAACAAGUACCGUUCGAAUAGGGCGGUACCUUGACGGUACCUAACCAGAAAGCCACGGCUAACUACGUGCCAGCAGCCGCGGUAAUACGUAGGUGGCAAGCGUUGUCCGGAAUUAUUGGGCGUAAAGGGCUCGCAGGCGGUUUCUUAAGUCUGAUGUGAAAGCCCCCGGCUCAACCGGGGAGGGUCAUUGGAAACUGGGGAACUUGAGUGCAGAAGAGGAGAGUGGAAUUCCACGUGUAGCGGUGAAAUGCGUAGAGAUGUGGAGGAACACCAGUGGCGAAGGCGACUCUCUGGUCUGUAACUGACGCUGAGGAGCGAAAGCGUGGGGAGCGAACAGGAUUAGAUACCCUGGUAGUCCACGCCGUAAACG
rnacentral:rRNA from 1 species